AAAUUUUCACCCGACUUUUAUCCAUGAUCAGUCAUUUUAUUUUAUUUUUCUUUGUUCGAAUAUCCAAUUUAAUUAAUUAGAAUGUUCUCCAUUAUUUAGUUUGAAUUUUGAUAAUGAAUCUUUUAAUAAGUUUUUAAUAAUAAUAUUAGUUGAGAUAGCAUUGGAUCCCGUUGCCAAAUUGAAGCUGAUCACACGGCAGCUCACAUUGCAUAUCAAAGAAAAAAUCUUCUGCCUCAAGUAAAAAGAUGCCACACGGACUCCACCCCCAACGUAUCUCCUAAAACCCACUACUCACAUUUGGAGGAAGGGCCCACCUAUAUACUCCGUACACG
rnacentral:lncRNA from 1 species